AGAUGACAACUCGAACGAGCAGCACGGACUUCGGUCUGGUGGCGAGUGGCGAACGGGUGAGUAAUGUAUCGGAACGUGCCCUGUAUCGGGGGAUAACUACGCGAAGGCGUAGGUGAUACCGCAUACGCCCUACGGGGGAAAGCAGGGGAUCGCAAGACCUUGCACUAUUGGAGCGGCCGAUAUCGGAUUAGCUAGUUGGUGGGGUAACGGCUCACCAAGGCAACGAUCCGUAGCUGGUUUGAGAGGACGACCAGCCACACUGGGACUGAGACACGGCCCAGACUCCUACGGGAGGCAGCAGUGGGGAAUUUUGGACGAUGGGGGAAACCCUGAUCCCGCCAUCCCGCGUGUGCGAUGAAGGCCUUCGGAUUGUAAAGCACUUUUGGCAGGAAAGAAACGUCGCGUGUUAGUACCUCGCGGAACUGACGGUACCUGCAGAAUAAGCACCGGCUAACUACGUGCCAGCAGCCGCGGUAAUACGUAGGGUGCAAGCGUUAAUCGGAAUUACUGGGCGUAAAGCGUGCGCACGCGGUUCGUAAAGAUCGAUGUGAAAUCCCAGAGCUUAGCUUUGGAACUGCGUUUUUAACUACCGGGCUAGAGUGUGUCAGAGGGAGGUGGAAUUCCGCGUGUACAGUGAAAUGCGGAAUCUGCGGAGGACACCGAUGGCGAAGGCAGCCUCCUGGGAUAUGCUGACGCUCAUGCACGAAACGUGGGGAGCAACCGGAUUAAUACCCUGGUAGUCACGCCCUAACGAUGUCACUAGCCUUGGGACUUCGCACUUGAUGCGCUCUAAGCGUGACGUGACCCCCGGAGAGUCGGUCGCAGAUUAAACUCAAGGAUUGACGGGACCGCACAGCGGAGAUGAUGGGAUUAUUCAUGCACGCGAAAACUUACUACCUUGACUGUCUGAAUCCUGACAGAUUAGGAGGCUCGCAGAGACCGAACACAGUGCUGCAGGAUGUCUCACUCGUGCCUGAAUGUGGUAAUUCCACACGACGCAC
rnacentral:rRNA from 1 species